GUGAAAAUUGAGGUAUAUUUGAAGUGGGGUUUGAGUAGAAAAGGAUAAAGAGAGAUUUAUCAGGCAGCAAAGGCUUUGCCGCCGGUGAAAGAAUUUCGUAAAACGAAUAGCUAAGCAGUUAUCAGAACUCUCCACUUGAAGUUUGCUGCUUCCCGAGCUACUUUUUUUAUUGAUACUCAGAAAGACAUCAUGGCUGUUUGUGGUUCAAGGACUCAUAUUGGGCAUUUCGUUGGCAAUAUGACUGCUAGGCGCCUGCAGUGUAGUUUGUCAGUAAAGGGUUGUACUGUUUCUUACAACAAAAGAGGCUUACAAAAUGUUAGUAAAGCUAACAUCAAUUUGGGAAACAAAGGACGGCCCAACAACUUCAUGCUUUACCAAUAUUUGACGACUAAUGUUGCAAAGAGGAGGACUAACCUCAAUCCACACAAAGGCUUUGGAUUGGAAGGUUUUCGCAAUUUAUCCCACGAAUGUUUCUAUUCUGGAACUGCCUCUGCUUCUAAUGUGUCUUCUGAUAAUUCUAAGGGCACGGAACAAGUUGUUGACGUUGUUAAUUCUUCUGAAGCACAGAUCCCCUUGCAGCUAAACUCGGGAUCUUUUUACCUACCUCAUCCUGCUAAAGCAAAAACUGGUGGAGAGGAUGCUCAUUUU
rnacentral:misc_RNA from 1 species